UAUGCUACAAUUCACCAUGAACUCCAAUAAAAAUUGGGAAUGAAAUCUUUCCAUAAAUUCAUGGCGAAUUUCUCUCUCUUGGUGGGAGAUAGAGCAAAGAGGAUGCCUUGAACAGGUAUCCGAGCGCAGGAACAUCCCCUAUAACUGUCUCCACUUGGGAUUGGGCGACAGCUUCACCGAGCUGGCCACCUUCCCUCCUCUACAAGCUCAGCUCCGACACCAACCUAGCUUCUCCCCUCACGUGGCCAAACUCCCAACCACAGCAUUGGCCGAAUUCCGGCGACGUUCUCUGUUGAAGAUGAGGCCACAGGAAUCACCACCGAGCCCAAGCGUUGCCCUCCAUAUCUCACCAAGUCGAGAAGAAAUGAAGAGGCUCGCGAAGGAGGAAGACCCACUCACAAAGUUACCAAAACUCGUUCAUUAUCAUUGGCCGCAAGGAGAAGGCGCCAUUCGAGGGGAGUGAAGGGUUGCAGGAUUUGCUUCCAGCCUGGCCUCGAAGAGGUGCAAUUUCUCGAUUUUAGUGGCACGUUUAGGACCCCCUUGAUGUGUUGAUGUUGUGUUUGGUGAUAACUUGGAGAAUGAUCACAAAGUGAGUGUGACAAAAUUGUGACGAUGUGCGGACCAUUAAACUCCUUUUUAUAAAGUUUUACUACGGUUCCAAUUCA